UACGAAGGGUGCAAACGUUGCUCGGAAUUAUUGGGCGUAAAGCGCGCGUAGGCGGCUUUUCAAGUCGAUUGUGAAAUCCCCGGGCUUAACCUGGGAACUGCAGUCGAGACUGUCUAGCUAGAGUAUGGGAGAGGGAAGUGGAAUUUCAGGUGUAGCGGUGAAAUGCGUAGAUAUCAGGAGGAACACCGAUGGCGAUGGCAGGUCUCUGGGCCACUACUGACGCUGAGAAGCGAAAGCAUGGGGAGCGAACAGG
rnacentral:rRNA from 1 species